ensembl:lncRNA
GCGCGCUGGGACUGUGAGGACACCUCGGCGGAGCCGCUGGAGCCGGCUUGGCUUGAGUGACAACUUCUAUCUGAAUGAUAUAUACAUCUGAGAACUGCUGCUGACUUCUUGAAGAUCCCCUGGAGGAGGAAAUAGCAACCCACUCCAGUAUUCUUGCCUGGAAAAUCCCGUGAACAGAGGAGCCUGGCGGGCUACAGUCCAUAGGGUUGUGAAGAGUCAGACAUGACUGAGCACUUUCACACACAGCACAGCUGGCUGACUUCUUAAAUCUCUUCUCACUCUUAGAUAAGAGUGAAAAGUGAUCUUUUCCAGUCCUGUGGCCACUGCUGAGUUUUCCAAAUUUGCUGGCAUAUUGAGUGCAGCACUUUCACAGCAUCAUCUUUCAGGAUUUGAAAUAGCUCAACUGGAAUUCCAUCACCUCCACUAGCUUUGUUUAUAGUGAUGCUUCCUAAGGCCCACUUGACUUCACAUUCCAGGAUGUCUGGCUCUAGGAGGAAGAAGCUAUUUGGCAGUCAAAGAUGGACAUUUCUCCUAAAGAGGAUAUUGGAAAAGGAAGAACUCCUCAGAAGGUGGAGCUGUGUUCCCUCCCUGCAAUUUACCUGGGGCCAAACUAUGGUGGAGGUAAUGAACAUAAUGGUGACCUCCUUCAAAAGAUCCCAUGCAUGUACUGCUACACUCAGUGCCCCCAACUCUGCAGCAGGCCACCACCAACCCGCGCCUCUGCUGGAGACUCCUGGACACUCACGGGCAAAUCUGGUCCGGCGAAGCGCAGCCGCAGCUCCUGACCUUGGACGUGGGGUAUCUCCUCUCCGCAGCUCACCGCUCCAGCAAGUGGGCAUUUAGGUUGCUUCUAUGUCUUGGCUGUUGUAAAUAUUGCUGCAACAAACAUUGGGGUACAUGUAUCCUUUUGAAUUAUGGUUUUCUCCAGAUAUAUGCCCAGGAGUGAGAUUGUUAGAUCAUAUGGCAUCUCUGUUUUUAGUUUUUAAAGGAAGCUCCAUAUUGUUUUCUAUAGUGACUGCAACAAUUUACAUUCCCAACAAUAAUGUAAGUGGAUUCUCUUUUCUCCACACCAUCCAGCAUUUGUUAUUUGAAGACUUUUAAUUUUUUAUUUUAUUUAUUUAUUUUUGGCUGUGCUGGGUUUUCAUUGCUUUUGCAUGGGCUUUCUCUAGUUGCCACAAGUGGGG